CUACAACAUGGCUGGAACAUGACUCCCCAGCUUUCCGUGCUCUCACAGAGUUGGUUGAGGAAAAAACCCUCCUGCGUGACCUGAGACAGAUGGCUCUGUUCAAGCACACUGGAUCUCUUGAAGUCUUUCAUAACGUACGCACCUGAGGUACGCACCAAAGCGACUUCUCUUUAUAUACGACUCGAUGAGAGCCCGCGCAGAGUUGGCCAUCAUAGAUCACAAUAUCAAUAUUGGAAGGGAACAAAAAACAACGCUUGAGGGAAAACCGCAGUACAAGUACAUGUACACAAAGACGACACAGCAGUGGGUGGCUAAGCCAGUGUAUGAGCCCACCUCUCAGGACUUUCGAAAAGACCUGAUGGAGGACGUCUUGAAGUUGAGGGAGGAGAAAAGCCUGGAACCUUGGCCCCGUCCUCCUCCUCGCCCAAGAAGGUUGCUGCAAAACAUAGCACCAGUGCCGAGGCCAGACCUGUCUGAGUUGGUGGCCCAAAGACUGUCACGGUUCAAGCAACUCUGACUUGUAGUGACAUUUCUUUUGUUCUUUUAGAGUACAGUUUUCUUUGUAUUUUUUAUUUAUAAUGUACAUAGUUUGUUUUUCCUUUUGUGUUUAUUUCAUGUUCUAUGUGUGGUCUACGUCUUUGUUGUUUGUCUAUAAAUAAAUAUUGUAGUUUGGAAUGAA